AGUGAACGCUGGCGGUAGGCCUAACACAUGCAAGUCGAACGGCAGCACAGUAAGAGCUUGCUCUUACGGGUGGCGAGUGGCGGACGGGUGAGGAAUACAUCGUAAUCUACUUUUUCGUGGGGAUUAAGGUAGGGAAACUUACGCUAGUACCGAAUCGCACAAACGGGUGAAAGAGGGGGAUCUUCGGACUUGCCUCAUUUAAUUAACCCGAUGUCGGAUUAGCUAGUUGGCGGGGUAAAGGCCCACCAAGGCGACGAUCCGUAGCUGGUCUGGAAGGAUGAUCAGCCACACUGGAACUGAGACACGGUCCAGACUCCUACGAGAGGCAGCAGUGGGGAAUAUUGGACAAUGGGCGCAAGCCUGAUCCAGCCAUACCGCGUGGGUGAAGAAGGCCUUCGGGUUGUAAAGCCCUUUUGUUGGGAAAGAAAAGCAGCAGGUUAAUACCCCGCUGUUCUGACGGUACCCAAAGAAUAAGCACCGGCUAACUUCGUG
rnacentral:rRNA from 1 species